rnacentral:rRNA from 1 species
GAGACGAUCAACCACCUACUCCUUGGGUGCGUCCUGGCUCGACAAGUGUGGACAGACGUAGCUAGCAACUGGGCUAGGCCGACGUGGGUGCCACGGCAUGACAGUAAUCUGGUGGACUGGUGGACUUCGCUGGACCCACAACAAGAUAUGAGGAAAGAAACAUGGACAAUCGUCGCCUUAGUGGCAUGGACACUCUGGAGACACAGGAACGACAUCGUUUUCAAUGGUGUAGUACCGUCGGCGGAUGUAGUGCUGAACAAGAUUAACACCGAGGGACAAAACUGGUGGGCGGCGGCUCUGUUGAGGGAAGAUAGAUCCCUACCGAUGAGGGUGGACAGGUUGGAUAGAGUCGAGUAG